GGACGGCAGGCUUACACAUGCAAGUCGAGCAGGAGUGAUGGUGCUUGCACUAUCACUUAGCGGCGGACGGGUGAGUAAUGCUUAGGAAUCUGCCUAUUAGUGGGGGACAACAUCUCGAAAGGGAUGCUAAUACCGCAUACGUCCUACGGGAGAAAGCAGGGGAUCACUUGUGACCUUGCGCUAAUAGAUGAGCCUAAGUCGGAUUAGCUAGUUGGUGGGGUAAAGGCCUACCAAGGCGACGAUCUGUAGCGGGUCUGAGAGGAUGAUCCGCCACACUGGGACUGAGACACGGCCCAGACUCCUACGGGAGGCAGCAGUGGGGAAUAUUGGACAAUGGGGGGAACCCUGAUCCAGCCAUGCCGCGUGUGUGAAGAAGGCCUUAUGGUUGUAAAGCACUUUAAGCGAGGAGGAGGCUCUUUUGGUUAAUACCCAAGAUGAGUGGACGUUACUCGCAGAAUAAGCACCGGCUAACUCUGUGCCAGCAGCCGCGGUAAUACAGAGGGUGCAAGCGUUAAUCGGAUUUACUGGGCGUAAAGCGCGCGUAGGCGGCCAAUUAAGUCAAAUGUGAAAUCCCCGAGCUUAACUUGGGAAUUGCAUUCGAUACUGGUUGGCUAGAGUGUGGGAGAGGAUGGUAGAAUUCCAGGUGUAGCGGUGAAAUGCGUAGAGAUCUGGAGGAAUACCGAUGGCGAAGGCAGCCAUCUGGCCUAACACUGACGCUGAGGUGCGAAAGCAUGGGGAGCAAACAGGAUUAGAUACCCUGGUAGUCCAUGCCGUAAACGAUGUCUACUAGCCGUUGGGGCCUUUGAGGCUUUAGUGGCGCAGCUAACGCGAUAAGUAGACCGCCUGGGGAGUACGGUCGCAAGACUAAAACUCAAAUGAAUUUGACGGGGGCCCGCACAAGCGGUGGAGCAUGUGGUUUAAUUUCGAUGCAACGCGAAGAACCUUACCUGGC
rnacentral:rRNA from 1 species